rnacentral:rRNA from 1 species
CAGCACCUCAAGUGGUCAGGAUGAUUAUUGGGCCUAAAGCAUCCGUAGCCGGCGCUGUAAGUUUUCGGUUAAAUCUGUACGCUCAACGUACAGGCUGCCGGGAAUACUGCAGCGCUAGGGAGUGGGAGAGGUAGACGGUACUCGGUAGGAAGGGGUAAAAUCCUUUGAUCUAUUGAUGACCACCUGUGGCGAAGGCGGUCUACCAGAACACGUCCGACGGUGAGGGAUGCAAGCUGGGGGAGCAAACCGGAUUAGAUACCCGAGUAGUCC